rnacentral:rRNA from 1 species
AUUGAACGCUGGCGGCAUGCCUUACACAUGCAAGUCGAACGGUAACAGGGAGCUUGCUCCGCUGACGAGUGGCGAACGGGUGAGUAAUAUAUCGGAACGUACCAUUGAGUGGGGGAUAACGUAGCGAAAGUUGCGCUAAUACCGCAUAUUCUCUCCGGAGGAAAGCAGGGGACCGCAAGGCCUUGCGCUCAUUGAGCGGCCGAUAUCAGAUUAGCUAGUUGGUGGGGUAAAAGCUCACCAAGGCGACGAUCUGUAGCGGGUCUGAGAGGAUGAUCCGCCACACUGGAACUGAGACACGGUCCAGACUCCUACGGGAGGCAGCAGUGAGGAAUCUUGCGCAAAUGGGGGAAACCCUGACGCAGCAACGCCGCGUGAGUGAGGAAGGCCUUCGGGUCGUAAAGGCUACUGUCAGAUGGGAAGAAAAUGGAAUGGGGGCGUAAGUAUACGCCCAAUCCUUCGACGGUACCAUCAGAGGAAGCACCGGCAACUCCG